rnacentral:lncRNA from 1 species
UGGCUAAUUACAAAGAGGACUUUAGAAAAAUUACAACCCAAAAGACGACUCAAUCAAAACAGCACAGCAAUAACCACCAAACUAAGACCCAGCCCACCAAGUAUUUAGAAGCCCAAAAUCCAAACCCAUAUCUAUAAUGCAAAUGUCAAACCAAACAGAACCUUUCCUGAAAGCCAAAAUCGAGCUACUGCCUCCAUGUACUUAAGUCCAAAAUAGCAUCCCUAACAGAAAAAUAACAAAGACCUGCAAAAACGAAUCAAAGCAAACAAAUAAAAACACAAUCGCCAUUACCGGAGCGAGUACGGAUCCAACUCCUAUCCGAAAGCAGGCCAAAAAAGCCAAACAGCUAAAUAAAACUAAAAUAAAAACCAAAAUAUUGACGAAAAUCAAGAGCACCCUCGUCCGGGCGCUUACCUACAAUUCUCCUUGAGAACCAUUGGACCAUUGACAUUCAGUCUCAGUCUAGCCUUUACAUGAAAGCUUAAUCUAAAA